CCUGUUUCAAUUCAGGAAAACAGCAGUUAAAGGAAAGCCUCUUUGAAACAAGGAUUUGAAAUGGAAGCUAUGCAGAUGAACAUGCUUGCAAGCUGUGAAAUGAAGGUGAGGAUUUGAAGACAUACAUUAAAUCAAGGAGGUAUCAAGUUGAUGUUUGGGAUAGAUCGAG
rnacentral:lncRNA from 1 species